rnacentral:sRNA from 1 species
GCGCAACCCACGGCUGCUGCAGGGAUCCUUGUGGCCCUUCCGGUCGGUGGAACCAAUCCGUGCACAGAGAAGCGGGGCGAACUGAGGCGAGUGAAGUGGACUCUGAGGGCUACCGCUACCGCCACUGCUGCGGCAGGGGCGUGGAGGGCAGAGGGCCGCGGAGGCCGCAGUUGCAAACAUGGCUCAGAGCAGAGACGGCGGAAACCCGUUCGCCGAGCCCAGCGAGCUUGACAACCCCUUUCAGGACCCAGCUGUGAUCCAGCACCGACCCAGCCGGCAGUAUGCCACGCUUGACGUCUACAACCCUUUUGAGACCCGGGAGGUGAGCUACUGGAGAGCAUAGGAGUUCAAGGAAGGGAAGGGUUUGCCAGUGAGACAAGUUAGCUUGGGUACAGGGGACUUUUCUGCAUGCACAGGAAGGAAGAGGCACUGUGAUCUUAGUUCCCUGAGAGAGGCUAGUCAGCCAUGGGAUGCCUCAUCCUUCUAGGGCCACCAGGGCCACCAACCCAAAUGGUUUGAGCUCUAAAAGUCAGUCCUGGGAAGAUCUGGAGGCUGGCAAGGCCUUAACCAAUGUUCUGUAUGGGAAGGCUUUCUUGAAGAAAAUAAAGGUUGGGGCUGGUUGGAGUUUAGGUUAGGUGUGCAGUUUGAAAGCAAGGAAUGAGGAGGACUACACCUGUUUGUCCCACUGGAUUAGAAAAUGGUGAGUUGUAAGAAUUUAAGGGGUUUUCAUGGUACUUAAAACUUAAAAAAAA